AUGGAGAGCACCGUCGACGCAAUGGCGGCCGCCUACGACGCGCUGGUCGACGCCGCGGCCGCCGCCGUCCGCGAGCCCGGUCGCACGGUGGCGCUCACGGACCUCCACCGCUGCCUCGACGCCUUCAGCGAGUCCUGCGACCGAGCCGAGGGCCUCGUCCAGGCUGCCGCCGCCGGCCUCGGCCCCGCCGCCUCCCGCCACGACGCGCUGUGUCGCGCCGUGCGCGCGGUCGACAAGGAUCUCCGGGCCGCCGCCGCCGCCGGCGGCCAGGAGGAGAACGAGAUGGAGCAGGAAAAGAAUCGCCCUCCGACCACGCCGCUGGCGGCCGAGGACAAAUAG
rnacentral:rRNA from 1 species